CGAGAAGACCGGAUGGCCGCGGCGCUACUAACAGGAACCGUUCCUUUGACAGGGGUAGGCCUGGUGUCGAGGAAAGUCCGGACUCCACAGAGCACGGUGGUUGCUAACGGCAACCCAGGGCAACCUGCGGGACAGUGCCACAGAAAGUAAACCGCCCACCAUUGCGAGUGGGUAAGGGUGAAAGGGUGCGGUAAGAGCGCACCAGCAUGCCAGGUGACUGGCGUGGCUAGGUAAACCCCACCGGGAGCAAGGUCAAGCGGCCGAACGGAAAGUUUGGCCGAGUUCUAGAGCUGCUCGCUUGCUAGUGAACAGGUAGACCGCUUGAGGCGCCCAGCGAUGGUGCGCACAGAUGGAUGGCCAUCUCGCGCCGGCACCUCCGCGUGCUGGUGUAGGACAAAAUCCGGCUUAGAGGUCUUCUCGGCCC
rnacentral:RNase_P_RNA from 2 species